GGAGGUUGCGGUGAGCCGAGAUCGCGCCAUUGCACUCCAGCCUGGGUAACAAGAGCGAAACCCCGUCUCCAAAAAAAAAAAAAAAUCACCAGGGUUGAUUCACUGAUCUGGCUGGCUAGGCAGUGUCCCAUUCCUCCCUCACAGCUCCAUGUGCGUCCCUCCUGACGCUGUGCUCGGUCAGAGAAAACCACCAUCCCUGAUAGUGGAGGACUGGUCUUCGGUCAAGGGUAUACGAGUAGCUGCACCCCCCUUCUAGAAACCUCCAUAACAAGCUCUCAAAUCCACCUAUUUUUUGAAGUCCCUAAUCUUAUCACUCUCCACCUUUUUUUUUUUUUUUUUUUAGAUGGAG
rnacentral:sRNA from 1 species